GCUCCAAUGGGUCAGUGGUAGACUGGUUUCCCAAUUUCACUAGGUUCGUGAAUGUUUUCGAGACAGACGUGGGUUCGAAUCCCGCUUGGAGCG